CGUCAUAACCAUUACCUAUGCAUUUUUGCCAACAAUGAAUAAGAGCCUGCAUGCCAUGCUUGUAAGUAUCUGCAGCAGUGGAGGUGACCCACUGUCAUUGCUGACACUGCUGAAAUGCACCAUCCACCACCUCACAGGAUACACACCCACUGUUUGGUCCCCAUAUACAUUCAGGAAGUGUUGAUGAAUGUCAGUGGGUGCCAUUGCUUCUGCAUGGAGGAAUUCAAUGACACACUUUUGUUUCAUGAUGAAAGAUGCAACACGAACCAGCAAUGUGUGCUUGCAGAUCAGAAAGCCAACUGUAUCCUCGGUUGCAUCAAGAGAAGAGUGACCAGCAGGUUGAAGGAUGUGAUUCUGUCCCUCUACUCUGCUCCACCUGGAAUACUGCAUCCAGUUCUGGAGCCCCCAACACAAGGAGGACAUGGAGUUGUUGAAGCAAGUCCAGAGAGCUGGCUAGCGUGUAAAACACUCUACAACACUCUGCAAAGAGUGUAAAAUGCUGCAAAACAGCCUAAUCUCUACUGUAGCAUUCUGCUUUGAUAUUGAUGAUAACUUGAUGAAGUAACACAUGAAAAACUGUUCCAGAAAGUGCAAGAGAGGAAGAAAGAAGAAACAAAGACAACAUACUUCUUUUUCCCUCAAAAAUCAGGUAUGGAAGUAGGAAAAAAAGAAAACAUUACCUUCCCCACUGCCAGAACAAAGCAACAAACCAACACCAAAAUCCUAAAAAGUAGAAAGAUUGACCAAUAUUUUCAAAAGUGCCUGGUUGUUUCAGAUGUGCAGUUUGAGAAGUUUGGUUCUCAUCUGGGGACGAAUUCACUCUGGACCUCAGGUUAAGUUAUGAAGGAUCUGGCACCAACUGGGUAUCUUUGAGGCAACAUGAGCAACUGGAAGCACUUACUGCAUUCAAACUUGUCAGUUUUUCACCUGUGGUAUUUUCUGGUCAGGUCAAGAAGUGCUUUCAGUGGAACUACAACAUCUAGAACAAAAAUUUGACACAGGUUGCCCUCAAGGCACUCACUGAUCUGAAGGGGUAAAGCAUGAGCACUGUAACAAAGAAUCUGAAGAAAGACCCUAGAGAAGGUGAAGAUGGGACUAGAGAAGAAGAGGCUCCAUUGUACUCAACAGCUGCAUAAAAAGUUUUCUAUCAAUAGCCCUAACAGGGAAAGUGAGCUAUCAGGUGCACAGGUCUAGAGAAGCUAAGGAAUUUAUGGUAGAUAUAUCUAGAUUUCCAUAAUUAGGCUCUCAUUAAGUACCUAUAUCUUAAUCAGAUAUAAAACCCAGUAUAUCCAUGACUUUAUCCAGUCCCUUGAGCACAGAUGGACAGUAGAACUGACCUCCUAGUUUUGUAAAAUGACAAAAGUAUCAAAAUGCAUUAAAUUCUUAUUACUUCAUCAGGCCACACCAACCAUACUCUUCUCAAAAUAACAUUAAAUCCUACUUAUGGUUACCCAGUAGGUCUGCGUGCAAUUGCCUUGCUCAUUUGGAUGUAUCAGCUUCUUUCUAACAGCAGCUUGUUGAUCUUUAGGAAAUUUUAGCUGCAAGUAUGCAAAUCUGCUAUACUGAUCUAAAUAUUUCCUCUUCUUUUCACCUAAUAAAAUAGAAACACAUAUUCAGAAUUCCU
ensembl:lncRNA